rnacentral:lncRNA from 1 species
CUGCUCAGUAGCAAGACUGAACUAGAAAAAGUUCUGCUGCAGACAAAUCCUAGGGUGUUUUAAUUGGACAAUGUUUCUGAAACAUCAGCAGUCUAUAUACCAUUAUUAGGCUACCACUUUGUUCACCUGCCAAUCACAUUACCAUUUCCCUCCUGUUUCCCUUGGACUUUUAAACCUUUUAUUUAAUCCAAUCUUAAGCAAUAACAUCCAUGAAACUAUUGGUUGACAUAUUACAUUGUCUGAAUACAUGGAUUCAUUUAAAUGGAUGCAUAAGUAAUAUUAAAAAUGUAUCUGCUUACAGCCUAAAGUUGAAUAACAAGAAGAAAUAAAAAGGAAAGGACAUGACUGUAAUGAUUCAGGCAUUAUGGUAGCAGGCCCCUGUCACCUAGUCAGCCCACAUUCAAAGGACCCCUUUAAAAGAAAGACCUUCGCCCACUUACACUAUUUUCCCCCGUUCUCUCUUUUCCCUCUCUCUUUCCCGCUGUCGCCCUGGGCAGACAGGACUUUUCUUGUCCCCCUCUUCUCUUCUGUCCUCUCUUGUGUGUCUCUUUCCCUCUUUUUCUCUUUCCUUUCCCCUCCCUCUCCUUUCUAAUAAAACUUCUCACUUAAGCUCUGACUGCCUGACAUGUUUUUGCCCCACCUGGGUCAACCUCACCCGACAUGGAUUGCCCCACGAAGGGUCCCUCACGCUUUAUCAUAACAAUGACUGCUCCUAGGUAUGGUGGAAGAGAAAGUUUAUUAUAGAUUAAAGGGAGAGAGGGACAUCUGGGAGAGAGUCCAGAGUGGACAUGACCCUGAGUGUAUGUGUGUGUGUGGGGGGGAGCAGACCAAGGGAACCAGGUGCCAAAAAGGGGACCAGGAGGCACAAAAAGAGAGUUAAAAAAACAAAUCAAACCAAAAAUGGUUAGACUGCACAGCCCCUGGGUUGGAGACGUUUAGGGUAGGGGCAGGGUAUCCUAGCCAGGAAGGCCCUGUAACAGGUAGGGACUGGGGGAUGCUGGGAGAACCCGGCAGCCAGGUCCGCUUUUAUAUGUUAAACAGGCACUUCAUCCAGUUGUCCCGGGGUUUGAAACUUCACAAACAUUACCUAAGUAUUCUCCCCAUGUACUUCCUAUGCAAACACUGCUUCCUGCAGUGUGGUCUGGGGGUUUUGUACCAACGCAAGGCCAAGUGUCCUAUCUGUGGGCUUGCCUUCAGUUUAGAGGACAUAAAUCAAGCUAUUUUCCUGAGAGGGGGCUGACUCACAUUUCCUGAGCACACUGCCAAUGCACCAAACAAGGAGCUUUAUAAAAGCCUCUCCCGUGGUCACUCAAUCCCUCCAAACAGCUGAACUGGAAUUAAGUUGGCAACAAAUACUGAAUACCACCAAUGUCAGACAACUGAGGGUUUCUGCGGCAAGAGCAGAAUCAAAAAUAAUAAAACCAAAUUGCUGGAAAGCACCUACACUGCUUGCACAGGACUCCCGAAUCCAAGAAAAGCUUCCAGGCUUUUGUGCUGGCCCGGCUGAGGUUGAAUUGUUUCUAUUCUUUCCUGCACCGGGAAGUCAUGGGAGACACAGAUACAGAACUCAGGAGCAAUCCAGGGGAGAAAGAACAGCUGUUAUGCACACACUGUGAUAAGGAAAGCCAUCUUAGAAUGUGCAGCUGAGGGACACACCUGAGUCAAUGACCUUGAAGGAACCUUAGAUCACUAAUUCACAGAUUACCAAUUGAGGAAUGAACUUUUAUCUCAUACAAACCACUGUUCCUUGGGGUUUCUGUCACAGUAACCAAUCCCAGACUAAUACUCCGGGAUUAGAGCACUGGCUUUUUGUUUGUUUGUUUGUUUUUUGAGACAGGAUUUCUCUGUAACAGUCCUGGUCGUUCUGGGACUCACUUUGUAGACCAGGCUGUCCUCCAACUCACAGAGAUCCACCCGUCUCUGCCUCCUGAGUGCUGGGAUUAAAGGAGUGUGCCACCUCCUGCGGGCAAGCAAUGGUCUUUUAAGUUAGCCUUCCAGCUCCCCAAUUUGAAAUCCUGAAAUAUAUUCAACCUAUUUCCUCCAUUAAACUCGGGACAUUCAUUUUCAAGGUCAACUGUGAUUGAAUUACUUCUGGCUUCACUUCCCACAGUGUACAUUUUACAUUCCUCAGUGUGACAGGCCAACCCUCAUACACUGGCCUUUGCUUUACCACUCUGUCUUCUAGUCCCUCCCUGCUCAUGCUCUUAAGGUCCAAGCACAUGGAACCAUUUGCAGCUUUAUAGUAUAAGCCAAACCCAUGCAUCCUAGUGCAUCCCAAUAAACUGUUUGCUCAGCCCAGAGGGCACGUUCUCCACCUUGACUAGUUUACUAGACAGGACUGGUUUCUAGUGGUCCUUCAGGCCUUAGGCCAGCAUCUCUCAGUUGUUGGGAGUUUUCCUGAGCACACCUGGAUCAGCACCUUGUGUUUUCAAAGUAUUCCAUGUACGUGUCUAUCAGAGCAUUUCCCAUCCAUCCCCUUCUCUAACCUGUCCUAUCAGUGGUUACUCUUUGAGUAACAAGAAUUAUUUUCUUACUCUUAUUACCAGUCCCUAGCACAAAGCCCUGGCACCUUGAAAUAUCGAUUUGGGGGCCAGUGAGAUGGCUUCUGGGUAAUGAAUGGCAUUGCUGCCAAGCCCCAUGACCUGGGUUCGAUCCUCAGAGGCCCCUUUGGUGGAAGGAGAGAACUUGACUUGUAAGACCCUCGGAAAGCUAAGGCUUCCAGAAUCUUAGCCCAGGACCACAGCCACCCCAAUCACAGAAUGGAGGCGAAAGCUUGAUGCAAAUUGCAUGAGGCUUUAUUGUAGUUUAAUGAGCUAACCCCAUGUUAGCUCGGGUCUUUGACCCAACCAACAUGGCGGAUGGCUAGCAAAGACAGUUGGAAGACGCUGCAUACAGAUCUUUAUAGGGCAGCGCAAGGGGAGUGUCUAGGGGUAUGCACAGGCUCAGGAUUGGUGUGCCUCCAGGCUUGGAGGGUUUGCCCUGUGUUUAUUGGUCAACGGGUUGUUAUGGCCCAUAGGCCCUCCCAGGGUGAUUGCUAUGCUUU